GCCAGGCAAGGUGGCGCAUGCCUGUAAUCCCAGCAGCUUGGGAGACUGAGGCAGGAGAAUCUCAAGUUCAAAGCCAGUCUCAGCAAUUUAGCAAAGCCCUAAGCAACUUAGUGAGACCCUGUAUCUA
rnacentral:sRNA from 1 species